GCAUAAUCAAUAGUUUUUUAAUUGAAAACUAGAAUGAAGGGUUGAUACUAAGAAGAAGGUUUUAUUUUAUAAUUUUGAAUUUUAAUUAAAAGUAAAAAUGCUUUUGUUAAUCUUUGGGACGAGAAGACCCUAGAAGCUUAAAAAUUUAUGUUAUUUUUAUAUUGGGGUAAUUUUUGAAGAAAAGAAUUUUUAUAAGUAUAGAAAAAUAUUAUAAAAAGUUACUCUAGGGUUAACAGCGUUAUUUAAUUAAUAAGUUCUUAUUGAUAAUUAAGUUUGCGACCUCGAUGUUGAAUUAAUU
rnacentral:rRNA from 1 species